rnacentral:lncRNA from 1 species
UGUUAAAUGAGAAAGGUAGUUAGAUAAGACAUACUUGUAAAAAAAACUAGCUUGUAAUUAACAUGACCAGGAAGAAUUACCUUGCUUGACUGCCCCUUUUUACAACUUCUUACAUUGUGUCCAUAUGCAUGACAACUGCUACACUUCAUACCAAUAUUUUUCUUGGACAACUUUGAAUGGCUGACAUAUUCAUCAGCUUCUCUUCUUC